ACAAGAGGACAUGGCUUUAAGGUAAGGGGUGGGAAGUUCAAGGGAGAUAUUAGAGGAAAGUUUUUUACUCAGAGAGUGGUUGGUGCGUGGAAUGCACUGCCUGAGUCAGUGGUGGAGGCAGAUAUACUAGUGAAGUUUAAGAGACUACUAGACAGGUAUAUGGAGGAAUUUAAGGUGGGGGCUUAUAUGGGAGGCUGGGUUUGAGGGUCGGCACAACAUUGUGGGCCGAAGGGCCUGUACUGUGCUGUACUAUUCUAUGUUCUAUGUACUUAGAGCAGCCAAUUCACCUACCCACUCAAGCCUAGGGAAGCAGGAGGAAGCUGAUGCACCCGGGAGAAACCCACAUGGUCACAUGGAAAGCGUGCAAACUUCACCCAGGCAGUGCAGGAGAUUAGGAUUGAACCAAGUGAGUUUACAGCUUUGCUUUGCCAGCUGCCAUGGUAACCAAGUGAAGGGACGGGAUUGACAAGAAAGCAAAAGUCACAGACUUUCACCCCGAGCGAGUGACUCAGCAAGUCAGAAUCCUCCAGAUCAACACACACAAAAUGCUGGAGGAAUUCAGCAGGCCAGACAGCAUCUAUGGAAAUGAAUAAACAGUCGAUGUUUCAGUGUGAGAAAGGAGAGAAAGGAGAACAAGCUAGAAGGUGAUAGGUUACUUCUAGUAAGAUGGUGGUGCACUCCGACACAGCAGUUUCUACGGAACCAACAAAAGGGUACUUUUGAAGACCCUGACCUGGAGUUACAUGCUGUCUUCGGUUCCUUGCGGGAAUGGGACCUGUUCUCAGGGUUUCAAGGACUGGCUGAUGUUCGGCACGCCAAGGAGGGUUCUUUUGAAGACCCUGCCCUGGAGUUACACGCUGACUAUGGUUCUUUGCGGGAAUGGGACCCACUCUUGGGGUUUCAUAACUGGCCGUUGUUCGGCACGCCAAGGGCUCGGCCUAAGAGUUCGGCUCGGCUUUGGAGGCCUAAGAUCUCGGGGCUCUGGAGAUGGGCAGUUCGAAGGUCGGUGUCACGGUAGGAGACCUGUGUGUCGUCGGGUGAGUUGGAAUGUUUAUGGCUGUGUGCCCAGAGACUCGAGAUCUUUGGGCACAGAGCUCGAAAAAAGUGACGUAACAUCAUAACCCAGGUAGUUGUUUGUUAUGUCGCCCCGCUCGCUGUGAAACAGAGACGCCUCUUUUAGGGGGAGAGAGAGACACUGUAGUACGUCGAAUACAGUCUUUGGGGUAACUGCAAGUGUGUGUCUUCACUGUUGCUUUGCUAACACUUGAAUGCUCGGUGGCAGGUGCCAAUGCUUUUUUUUGCCAGUGGGGGGAGGGGGAAUCAUUGCUUGCUGCUGCUUACACGCUGGAGGGAGGGGACCUGGGGGAGACUUUGGGGUUCUAACAUUUAACUGUCUUUCAUUCUUUGAGGCACUCUUCUGUUUUUGUGGAUGGUUGGGAAAAAAGCAGCAUUUCAGGAUGUAUGUUGUAUACAUUUCUCUGACAUUAAAUGUAGCUUUGAAACCUUCGAAUAAUUGUUAUCCUGGAUCUGAUGCAGCAUAAAAAAGAUUUUAAAAAAUAUAAUAAAUAUAAAUAGAUAAUUUCUAGGUAUAUAGCCAUCUUAUGUCCAUAAAGUGACGCAGGGCAUAAGACUGCCUGUACAUAACUGACAGGAAAUGAUAAAAGUAGUGGUGACUGGGGGUGGUGAAGGGGUGGGUUGUGGGCGGAGGUGUUGGUCAGCCUUACUGCUUGGGGAAAGUAACUAUUUUUGAGUCUGGUGGUCCUGGCAGGAUGCUAUGUAUCUUGAUGGGAGUGGGACAAACAGUUCACGAGCAGCAUGGCUGGGAUCCUUCAUGAUGUUAUUAGCCAUUUUCUGGCAUCUUUCCGGAUACAAGUCCUUGAUGGUGGGUAGGCUGGUGUCAGUGAUACAUUGGGCAGCUUUGAAAACUCAUCCUAGAGGCUUCCCGUCUGCCUCGGUGUAGUUUCCAUACCAAGCAGUGACGCAGCUGGUCAGGAUGCUCCAUGCUGUGCAUCCAUAGAAUGACAUGAGCAUGAAUGUGUAAAGUCCAGCUCUCUUCAGACUCCUCAGAAAGUAGAGGCACUCGUGAGCUUUCUUGACUGUGUAGGAUGUGUUUUGGGACCAUGAGAAGUUGUGUGUGAUGCACAGUUCCAGGAGAUUGAAGCUAAUUGCGGUUUCCACUGCUGUACCACCAUUGUAAAGGGAGAGGGGUGUGAGUGGUGCGAGUUCCCUGAAGUCUAUCACCAUCUCCUUUGUCUUGUUGACCAGAUAUUAUCUGCCUGGCACCAGGCCUCAAGCUCUUCUACCUCCUCUCUGUAGGUAGUCUCGUUGUUGUUGGUGAUGAGUCUACCUCACGUCAGUGAACUUGACGAAGAGAUUAAGACCAUAAGACAUAAGAGCAAAGUUAGACCAUUCAGCUCAUCGAGUCUGCUCCACCAUUUCAUCAUGCCUGAACCAUUUCCACUUCAAUCAUAUUCUCCUGCCCUCUCCCCAUAAAUUUUCACACCCUGACUUAUCAAGAACCUAUCAACCUCCACCUUAAAUAAACCCAAUGAUCUGGCCUCUAGUUACCUGUGACAACAAAUUUCACAGAUUGCUCACCCUCUGGCUAAAGAAAUUCCUCCUCUGCUCUAUCCCCUCUGCUUAUCUGCCUAUCCUUUCAAUACAAUGUGUAUCCUUAGACAUUAAGCUCUCAACUAUAAUCUUCUUUCAGCCACAACUCAAUGAUGCCCAUAACGUCAUACCUGCCAAUCUCUUACUGCACUACAAGAUAAUCUUAUUCCAUAUAUUACAUGCAUUCAAGUAUAACACCUUCAGUCCUGUAUUCGUCACCCUUUCUGAUUUUGUCCCCCUUUUAUACUGCAACUCAUCCCACUGACUCCAAUUUUACCUGAUCAUCUGCCUGUCUCACUACACACCGCCUCUACUUGUAAACCAGCAACCCUACCCUCAGGUCCUAUCACUCUGCUUCACAUUCCCCUGCCAAAUUAGUUAAAACCUUCCCCAAACAGCUAGAAAACCUGCCCGCAAGCACAUUGAUCACCUUUGAGUUCAGGUGUAACCUGUCCCUUUUGCACGGGUCACACUUUCCUAGAAGAGAUCCCAAUGAUACAGAAAUCUGAAACCUUGCCCUUGCACCAGUUUCUCAGCUAUGCAUUCAUCUGCCAAAUCAUCCUAUUCUUAUCCUACCCUCACUGGCACAGGGAGCAAUCCAGAGAUUGCUACCCUGGAGGUUCUCCUUUUCAGCUUUCUACCUAGCUCCCUGAAUUCUCUCUUCAGGAUCUCCUCACUUUUCCUACCUACAGUUGCAAGAAAAAGUUUGCGAACCCUUUGAAAAUUACCUGGUUUUCUGCAUUAAUUACUCUUAAAAUGUAGGAUGAUGUUCAUCCAAGUCACAAUAAUAGACAAACAAUCUGCCUAAACUAACACACAACAAUUGUACUUUCCACGUCUUUAAUCAUUGUUUAAUCAUUCACAGUCUAGUUUCAAAAAGUAUGUGAACCUCUGGCAUUGUGCCUUCUACUAAAGCUAUUUGGCAUCAGCUGCUCUAAUCAAUGAGAUGAGAUUGGAGGUGUGGGUUGUAGAGGUGCCCUGCCCUAUAAAAAAGACACACAAAGUUAGGUUACUGACAGAGCCUGCUCUUCUCAAGAAAGAUCAAUUUAUGUGCAUCAUGCCUCGGUCAAAACAACUUUCAGAGGACCUCAGAAGAAGAAUUGUACAGAUGCAUGAAGCUGGAAAAGGCUACAAAAGUAUUUCUAAAGACCUGAGCGUUCAUCAGUCCACAGUAAGAGAAAUUGUCUACAAAUGGAGGAAAUUCAGUACUGUUGCUACUCUCCCUAGGAGUGGGCGUCCUGCAAAGAUCAAAUCAAGAGCACAAUGUGCAACUGAAGGAGAUGAAAAAGAACCCAUCGGUAACAACAAAAGACCUGCAGAAAUCUCCUGAACUUGCAAAAGUCUCUGUUCGUGUGUCCACCUUAAAAAAAAAUGCUGAACAAGAAUGAUGCUCAUGGAAGGACACCACAGAGGAAACCACUGCUCUCCAAAAAAAACAAAAACAAAAUUGCUGCACAUUUCCAGUUUGCAAAAGACCCCCUGGAUGUUCCACAUCGCUUCUGGGACAAUAUUCUGUGGACAGAUGAGAAAAAAGUUGAACUUUUUGGCCGAAAUGCACAUCAGUAUGAUUGGAGGAAAAAGGGCACUGCACACUAACACCAAAAUCUCAUCCCAACCGUGAAGCAUGGUGGAAGGAGCAUUAUGGUUUGGGGUUAUCAUGACAUAUGCCGGUGAUAAUAAACCUGAUUCUAAUUCUGCUUUGCUGCCUCAGGCCUGGACAGCUCACAAUCAUUGAGGAAACAAUGAACUCAAAAUUGUAUCAAGACAUCUUAGAGAAGAAUGUCAAAAGUAGUGGUCCAUCAUCUGAAGCUCAAUAGAAGUUGGAUGAUACAACACGACAAUGAUCCGAAACACAAGAGUAAAUCAACAACAGAAUGGUUUAAAAAGAAGAAAAUUCAUGUUUUGGAAUGGCAAAGUCAGAGUCCAGACAUUAGUCCAAUUCAGAUGCUGUGGCACGACCUGAAGGGGGCUGUUCAUGCAAGGUAUCCCAGAAUACUGAUGAAUUGAAACAGUUUUGUACGGAGGAAUCAUCUAAAGUUCCUCCUUGUCAUUGUGCAAUUCUGAUCAGCAGCAACAGGAAACGUUUGGUUGCAGUUAUUGUUGCUAAAGGAGGUUCUACCAGUUAUUAAAUACAAGGGUUUACGUACUUUUUCCAGCCUACACUAUGAAUGAUUAAACAACGUGUUCAAUAAAGACAUGAAAGGUACAAUUGUUUGUGUUAUUAGUUUAGACAGAUUGUGUUUGUCUAAAAAUGUCAAGAUCAGACCACAUUGUAUGAAUAAUUAAUGCAGAAAGCCAGAUAAUUGCAAAGGUUUCACAAACUUUUUCUUGCAACUAUAUUUUAUUGGUGCCAAUACAUACCAAGAUUUCUGGCUGCUCACCCUCCCCCUUCAGAAUGUCAUACGUCCCUGACCCUGGCAUCUGGGAGACAAUGUACCACCUGGGCGUCUCUAUCGCAUCCACCAAAACUCAUGUCUAAUCCUCUAAAUUGGUAUCUCCAAUCACUACUGCAGUCCUCUUCUUCCCCCCUUCCCUUCUGAGCCACAGUGCCAGAGACUCAGUCGCUGUGGUUCCCCCCACCAUCCCUGGUAGGUCAUUCUCCUCAACAGCAUUCAAAACUGUAUACUUAUUACUCAGGGGAAUGGUCAUGGGGGUACUCUGUACUGACUGCCCAUUUCCUUUCCUUCUCCUGACAGCCAUACAUUUAUCUGUCUUCUGCAACUUAGGAGUAUCUACCGCCCUGUAGCUCCUAUCUACCACCUUCUCAGUGUCCCAUAUAAGUCAUUGAGCUAAAGCUCCAGUUCCUUAACACAUUCCCUGGGAAGCUGCAUGUUGGUGCACUUGGUGCAGAUGUGGCUAUCUGUACACCUGCUUGUUACUGCAAAUAACUACACAUUACUACAGUGGUGUGCAGAAAGGCAUCUCUGAACACACAACACGUGGGAUGAUUGGGCUAAAGGCCUCCUGGAAUUCCAAAAUCUCACACAAAGAACACAAAACAGCUGUUGGAGCCAUUCUCAAUACUCUAACUAUGCAUGAACAGAUGAAGAAUAAAGCAGUUCACUGGAUAUUUACCUCAUCCAAGUCUAAUGGGCAAAGCCUCUCCACUCUAACUCUGGUCCACUCAGGCAAUGGCUGUUCCACUUGCCCCUGUCUCAUUUUUAUUCACCCUUGCUAAUGAAUCAUGACCGUGCCACAGAAAAAAAAAGCUAUCGUACAAAAGCUCUCUUUUUAAAUCUCUUGCUCUCGGACCUGCGUGAGGCCUCCUCUGCCAAUUUGACUGCAACUGUGCCAAUGAUUGCUUGGAUGUUAGGCCAUGCAGCCACGUGUGAGCAGAGUGUAAGCGAUGGGCUCGGCACACAGCCUGUUGGGGGGGGGGGCACCUGAGUUGAGGAUGAUGGGAAGGGAAGAUCAGUUGUGCAUCCUGACCAUCUGAGAUCUGUUCGUUAGGAAGUCCGACACCCAGUUGCACAGCAGUGUAUUUACACCAACGAGUAAGUUUGUUCCCCAAGAUCUGUGGGACAAUGGUUUUGAAUACCAAACCGAACUCAAGAAACAGCAUUCUGACAUGUGUCCUUGCUUUUGAAGUGUGUCGUGGCCAGGUGCACGACAUGCAAUGGCAUCUAUACACUCAAGUGUACGUACGCUUAGUGAAAACUUUGUGAGGUAUGCCUGUACACCUGCUUGUUACUGCAGGUAACUAUGCAUUACUACAGUGGUGUGCAGAAGAACAUCUCUGAAUGCACAACACGUCGGAUCUUGAAGUGGAUGGGCAACAGCAGCAGAAGACCACACUGGGUUCCAAUGCUGUACCGAACAAAAUGGCCAGUGAGUGUACAUUGAAACCCACAGUGAGAUGAGUUUGCCUCAACACCAACACAGUCCAAGGAUGUGCUGGGGACAGCCUACAAGUGUGGCCAUGCUUUCAACACCAACAUACUUUCUAAUCCUAACUGUACCUCUUUGGAAUGUGGGAGGAAACUGGAGCACCCAGAAGAAACCCACGUAGCCUUGGGAGAACAUACUGUUACGAGAAUACACAUAAAAUUAAGAUGUUUGCUGGCCUGGGCUAGCAUCAGUGGCAUCAGCAGUUGGUCUGCCACCUGCCCUCAGGGGAAGGAGAGAUAAGGAACAAUGGAGCAGCGUCUGGAGAUGUGUAAUGGAGGGACGUGGGAGAGGGAGCUGUCUGGAGCGGCUCCCCCUUUGAACCCUGAACUGUUUGAAGUGAUGGACAGGCGAUACCCCAGCAGGGGGAUAAAAAGGGGACAGGUUCGCUAAGACAGGACACACACGCCACCCGAGGUAACGAGACCCUGGAAGCGGUGCGCCUCUCACGAGUGGGUGAGAAGUGCCAGACAACGACAAGGGUGGAAAGGUACGAUCAGCGGGAACCCGGUGUGUGUCCGCCCUUGCCUGGGUGCCGGGUUCACUGCAGAGGAUCGACCGCAUCUGGAGGAGGGGUCACAGUCGGUGACCUCAGGUGACAUCACCAAGGACCCGCCCAAAUGCUGUUUGUGAGCCAUCUCGCUGGUCUGUGAGUGAAGCCGUUCUGAAUGAUCAGUUGUUCCUAUUCUAUGUCUCUCUUCCCCCACCUUGUCCAUCGCCAUGGCAACGAUUACUGCGAACUGGACUAUAACUGGACUGAACUUUGAGUCAUUUUGAAAUUGGUCAUUUACCCCUAGACAACGAUAGAGCUUGAUUGAUGCUGUUAUCUUAAUUCUGUGCACAUGUGUGUUUAUCAUCACUGAACUGUUGCCUUUAUUAUCCUUUCGAUUACUGUGUUGCUUGUUUCUUUAAUAAAACUUUCUUAGUUCUAGUACUCCAGACUCCAACUGAGUAAUCCAUUUCUGCUGGUUUGGCAACCCAGUUACGGGGUACGUAACAAUACAAACCUCUCCCAGACAGUGGUGGGACAGAACCCUGAUGGCUGGCGCUGUAAAGCAUUACAGUAACUGUGACAUCCUCAAAAGAAAGCCUCCUCAAAGAAAAAACAUUUUCCUUUCAGAAAUACAUCCAAAAUCUUUCCUCUCUUUUCAAUGCGGAUGGAAUUACCUGUUUAUUUUAAGAUGUGAUUGAUUACGUUCAGAUCAGAUUCACAUUUACUUAUCACAUGUUAAUGGAAAUAUACAGUGAAAUGUGUCAUUUGCAUUAACAACCAACAUAAUGUAAGUAUGUGCUGGGGGCAGUCCACAAG